rnacentral:rRNA from 1 species
UACGUAGUUCGCAAGCGUUGUCCGGAAUUAUUGGGCGUAAAGAGCGUGUAGGCGGCCAGGUAGGUCUGCUGUGAAAACUCGAGGCUCAACCUCGAGACGUCGGCGGAAACCAUCUGGCUAGAGUCCGGAAGAGGAGAGUGGAAUUCCUGGUGUAGCGGUGAAAUGCGCAGAUAUCAGGAAGAACACCCGCGGCGAAGGCGGCUCUCUGGGACGGUACUGACGCUGAGACGCGAAAGCGUGGGGAGCGAACAGG